rnacentral:rRNA from 1 species
GUUUGAUCCUGGCUCAGGACGAACGCUGGCGGCGUGCCUAAUACAUGCAAGUCGAACGAACUCUGGUAUUGAUUGGUGCUUGCAUCAUGAUUUACAUUUGAGUGAGUGGCGAACUGGUGAGUAACACGUGGGAAACCUGCCCAGAAGCGGGGGAUAACACCUGGAAACAGAUGCUAAUACCGCAUAACAACUUGGACCGCAUGGUCCGAGUUUGAAAGAUGGCUUCGGCUAUCACUUUUGGAUGGUCCCGCGGCGUAUUAGCUAGAUGGUGAGGUAACGGCUCACCAUGGCAAUGAUACGUAGCCGACCUGAGAGGGUAAUCGGCCACAUUGGGACUGAGACACGGCCCAAACUCCUACGGGAGGCAGCAGUAGGGAAUCUUCCACAAUGGACGAAAGUCUGAUGGAGCAACGCCGCGUGAGUGAAGAAGGGUUUCGGCUCGUAAAACUCUGUUGUUAAAGAAGAACAUAUCUGAGAGUAACUGUUCAGGUAUUGACGGUAUUUAACCAGAAAGCCACGGCUAACUACGUGCCAGCAGCCGCGGUAAUACGUAGGUGGCAAGCGUUGUCCGGAUUUAUUGGGCGUAAAGCGAGCGCAGGCGGUUUUUUAAGUCUGAUGUGAAAGCCUUCGGCUCAACCGAAGAAGUGCAUCGGAAACUGGGAAACUUGAGUGCAGAAGAGGACAGUGGAACUCCAUGUGUAGCGGUGAAAUGCGUAGAUAUAUGGAAGAACACCAGUGGCGAAGGCGGCUGUCUGGUCUGUAACUGACGCUGAGGCUCGAAAGUAUGGGUAGCAAACAGGAUUAGAUACCCUGGUAGUCCAUACCGUAAACGAUGAAUGCUAAGUGUUGGAGGGUUUCCGCCCUUCAGUGCUGCAGCUAACGCAUUAAGCAUUCCGCCUGGGGAGUACGGCCGCAAGGCUGAAACUCAAAGGAAUUGACGGGGGCCCGCACAAGCGGUGGAGCAUGUGGUUUAAUUCGAAGCUACGCGAAGAACCUUACCAGGUCUUGACAUACUAUGCAAAUCUAAGAGAUUAGACGUUCCCUUCGGGGACAUGGAUACAGGUGGUGCAUGGUUGUCGUCAGCUCGUGUCGUGAGAUGUUGGGUUAAGUCCCGCAACGAGCGCAACCCUUAUUAUCAGUUGCCAGCAUUAAGUUGGGCACUCUGGUGAGACUGCCGGUGACAAACCGGAGGAAGGUGGGGAUGACGUCAAAUCAUCAUGCCCCUUAUGACCUGGGCUACACACGUGCUACAAUGGAUGGUACAACGAGUUGCGAACUCGCGAGAGUAAGCUAAUCUCUUAAAGCCAUUCUCAGUUCGGAUUGUAGGCUGCAACUCGCCUACAUGAAGUCGGAAUCGCUAGUAAUCGCGGAUCAGCAUGCCGCGGUGAAUACGUUCCCGGGCCUUGUACACACCGCCCGUCACACCAUGAGAGUUUGUAACACCCAAAGUCGGUGGGGUAACCUUUUAGGAACCAGCCGCCUAAGGUGGGACAGAUGAUUAGGGUGAAGUCGUAGCAAGGUAGCCGUAG